rnacentral:rRNA from 1 species
GAUGAACGCUGGCGGCGUGCCUAAUACAUGCAAGUCGAGCGAACGGACGAGAAGCUUGCUUCUCUGAUGUUAGCGGCUGACGGGUGAGUAACACGGGGAUAACCUACCUAUAAGACUGGGAUAACUUCGAGAAACCAGAGCUAAUACCGCAUAAUAUUUUGAACCUCAUGGUUCAUAAGUGAAAGACGGUUUUGCUAUCACUUAUAGAUGGAUCCAGGAUUCAUUAGCUAGUUGGUAAGGUAACGGCUUAACUAGGCAACGAUGGAUAGCCGACAUGAGGGGGUGAUUGGCCACCCUGGAUCAGAGACUCGCUCCAGACACCGACAGGAGGCAGCGGUAGAGAAUCUUCCGCGAGGCGGGAGAGCCUGACGGAGCACAGUGGCGUAAGUGAUGAUGGUCCUCGGAUCGGUAAGCGAUGUUAUCAGGGAAGACCAAAUGCGUAAGUCUCUGUGAACAUAUUGACGGUACCUUAUCAGAAAGCCACGGCUAACUACGUG